rnacentral:tRNA from 1 species
GGUGGCUCAGUGGUAGAGCGCUUGCCUUGCAUGCAAGUUUGCCUUGCAUGAGUUUGAUUCCUCAGCACCA